rnacentral:rRNA from 1 species
GAUGAACGCUGGCGGCGUGCCUAAUACAUGCAAGUCGAGCGAACAGACGAGGAGCUUGCUCCUCUGACGUUAGCGGCGGACGGGUGAGUAACACGUGGAUAACCUACCUAUAAGACUGGGAUAACUUCGGGAAACCGGAGCUAAUACCGGAUAAUAUAUUGAACCGCAUGGUUCAAUAGUGAAAGACGGUUUUGCUGUCACUUAUAGAUGGAUCCGCGCCGCAUUAGCUAGUUGGUAAGGUAACUGCUUACCAAGGCAACGAUGCGUAGCCGACCUGAGAGGGUGAUUGGCCAGACUGGAACUGAGACACGUUCCAGACUCCUACGGGAGGCAGCAGUAGGGAAUCUUCCGCAAUGGGCGAAAGCCUGACGGAGCAACGCCGCGUGAGUGAUGAAGGUCUUCUGAUCGUAAAACUCUGUUAUUAGGGAAGAACAAAUGUGUAAGUAACUAUGCACGUCUUGACGGUACCUAAUCAGAAAGCCACGGCUAACUACGUG